rnacentral:rRNA from 1 species
GACAGAGGAUGCAAGCGUUAUCCGGAAUGAUUGGGCGUAAAGCGUCUGUAGGUGGCUUUUUAAGUCCGCCGUCAAAUCCCAGGGCUCAACCCUGGACAGGCGGUGGAAACUACCAAGCUGGAGUACGGUAGGGGCAGAGGGAAUUUCCGGUGGAGCGGUGAAAUGCGUAGAUAUCGGAAGGAACACCUGUGGCGAAAGCGGCUCACUGGACCAUUACUGACGCUGAGGCACGAAAGCUAGGGGAGCAAACAGG